UUUCUUUUUCUCUUUUUCUAAACAGCACUUCCAUGAUGGCAGAAAGGCACAACAACACAUUGAAACUUGCUGGAAACAACUCGAAGCAAGUAAGAGGCGGUUUGAACGUGACUGCAAAGAGGCUGAUCGAGCACAGCAGUAUUUUGAGAAAAUGGAUGCUGACAUCAACGUGACAAAAGCAGAUGUAGAAAAGGCAAGACAGCAAGCCCAGCUGCGACAUCAGAUGGCAGAAGACAGCAAAGCAGAAUAUUCUUCCACCCUACAGAAGUUCAACAGUGAGCAGCACGAGCAUUACUACACACACAUACCAAACAUCUUCCAGGUAAGGGACACUGGCACAG